GACGAACUUUGGCGGCGUGCUUAACGCAUGCAAGUCGAACGGAAAGGCCCUGCUUUUGUGGGGUGCUCGAGUGGCGAACGGGUGAGUAACACGUGAGUAACCUGCCCUUGACUUUGGGAUAACUUCAGGAAACUGGGGCUAAUACCGGAUAGGAGCUCCUGCUGCAUGGUGGGGGUUGGAAAGUUUCGGCGGUUGGGGAUGGACUCGCGGCUUAUCAGCUUGUUGGUGGGGUAGUGGCUUACCAAGGCUUUGACGGGUAGCCGGCCUGAGAGGGUGACCGGCCACAUUGGGACUGAGAUACGGCCCAGACUCCUACGGGAGGCAGCAGUGGGGAAUAUUGCACAAUGGGCGGAAGCCUGAUGCAGCAACGCCGCGUGCGGGAUGACGGCCUUCGGGUUGUAAACCGCUUUCGCCUGUGACGAAGCGUGAGUGACGGUAAUGGGUAAAGAAGCACCGGCUAACUACGUGCCAGCAGCCGCGGUGAUACGUAGGGUGCGAGCGUUGUCCGGAUUUAUUGGGCGUAAAGGGCUCGUAGGUGGUUGAUCGCGUCGGAAGUGUAAUCUUGGGGCUUAACCCUGAGCGUGCUUUCGAUACGGGUUGACUUGAGGAAGGUAGGGGAGAAUGGAAUUCCUGGUGGAGCGGUGGAAUGCGCAGAUAUCAGGAGGAACACCAGUGGCGAAGGCGGUUCUCUGGGCCUUUCCUGACGCUGAGGAGCGAAAGCGUGGGGAGCGAACAGGCUUAGAUACCCUGGUAGUCCACGCUGUAAACGGUGGGUACUAGGUGUGGGGUCCAUUCCACGGGUUCCGUGCCGUAGCUAACGCUUUAAGUACCCCGCCUGGGGAGUACGGCCGCAAGGCUAAAACUCAAAGGAAUUGACGGGGCCCCGCACAAGCGGCGGAGCAUGCGGAUUAAUUCGAUGCAACGCGUAGAACCUUACCUGGGUUUGACAUGGAUCGGGAGUGCUCAGAGAUGGGUGUGCCUCUUUUGGGGUCGGUUCACAGGUGGUGCAUGGCUGUCGUCAGCUCGUGUCGUGAGAUGUUGGGUUAAGUCCCGCAACGAGCGCAACCCUUGUUCACUGUUGCCAGCACGUUAUGGUGGGGACUCAGUGGAGACCGCCGGGGUCAACUCGGAGGAAGGUGGGGAUGACGUCAAGUCAUCAUGCCCCUUAUGUCCAGGGCUUCACGCAUGCUACAAUGGCUGGUACAGAGAGUGGCGAGCCUGUGAGGGUGAGCGAAUCUCGGAAAGCCGGUCUCAGUUCGGAUUGGGGUCUGCAACUCGACCUCAUGAAGUCGGAGUCGCUAGUAAUCGCAGAUCAGCAACGCUGCGGUGAAUACGUUCCCGGGGCU
rnacentral:rRNA from 1 species